AGAGUUUGAUCCUGGCUCAGGACGAACGCUGGCGGCGUGCUUAACACAUGCAAGUCGAACGAGACGAUUGAAAGCUUGCUUUUGAAAGUCGAGUGGCAAACGGGUGAGUAACGCGUAGACAACCUGCCGUAAAGAUGGGGACAACAGUCCGAAAGGACUGCUAAUACCGAAUGUUGUGGAACUUCCGCAUGGGAGCUCUACUAAAGAUGGCCUCUACUUGUAAGCUAUCGCUUUACGAUGGGUCUGCGUCUGAUUAGCUAGUUGGUGGGGUAACGGCCUACCAAGGCGACGAUCAGUAGCCGGUCUGAGAGGAUGAACGGCCACAUUGGAACUGAGACACGGUCCAGACUCCUACGGGAGGCAGCAGUGGGGAAUCUUCCGCAAUGGGCGCAAGCCUGACGGAGCAACGCCGCGUGAGUGAAGAAGGGUUUCGACUCGUAAAGCUCUGUUGUCGGGGACGAACGUGGAGACUAUGAAUAAUGGUUUUCAAUGACGGUACCUGACGAGGAAGCCACGGCUAACUACGUGCCAGCAGCCGCGGCAAUACGUAGGUGGCGAGCGUUGUCCGGAAUUAUUGGGCGUAAAGGGAGCGCANGCGGGAGAUCAAGUCUAUCUUAAAAGUGCGGGGCUCAACCCCGUGAGGGGAUGGAAACUGGUCUUCUUGAGUGCAGGAGAGGAAAGCGGAAUUCCUAGUGUAGCGGUGAAAUGCGUAGAUAUUAGGAGGAACNCNGUGGCGAAGGCGGCUUUCUGGACUGUAACUGACGCUGAGCUCGAAAGCGUGGGG
rnacentral:rRNA from 1 species